CCCUUAGAUGUUCUGGGCAGCACGCGCGCUACAAUGGUCUUCGCAAACGGAUGCAUUCUCGAAGGAGAAUGCCAAUCUUGGAAUCUAUGCCUUGGUCGGGACAGUUGCUUGCAAUUUUUCGACUCGAACCAGGAAUUCCUUGUAAUCGUGAUUCAUCACAUCACGAUGAAUACGUCCCUGCCCUUUGUACACACCGCCCGUCGCACCUACCGAUUGAAUGGUCCGGUGAAAUCUCCGGACUGGCGUGAGUCGGAGCAAUCUGGCAAACGCCGGAAAGUUGAUUAAACCUUACCAUUUAGAGGAAGGUGAAGUCGUAACA
rnacentral:rRNA from 1 species